rnacentral:rRNA from 1 species
GAGGGGCAGCACGAUGUAGCAAUACAUUGGUGGCGACCGGCGCACGGGUGCGUAACACGUAUGGAACCUGCCCUGUACUGGGAGAUAGCCCUCCGAAAGGAGGAUUAAUAUCCCAUAAUAGCUUGAGUGGCAUCACUCGGGUUUGAAAGCUCCGGCGGUACAGGAUGGCCAUGCGCACGAUUAGCUAGUUGGUGAGGUAACGGCUCACCAAGGCUACGAUCGUUAGGGGGCCUGAGAGGGUUAUCCCCCACACUGGUACUGAGACACGGACCAGACUCCUACGGGAGGCAGCAGUGAGGAAUCUUCCGCAAUGGGCGAAAGCCUGACGGAGCGACGCCGCGUGGUGGAUGAAGGCCCUUACGGGUCGUAAACACCUGUUCUGAGGGACGAAAUUUUUGACGGUACCUCAGGAGAAAGUAUCGGCAAACCCUGUGCCAGCAGCCGCGGUAAUACAGGGGAUACAAGCGUUACUCGGAAUUACUGGGCGUAAAGCGUCUGUAGGUGCUUAAGAAAGUCUGAGGUAAAAACUCGGGGCUUAACCCCGAGAUCGUCUUGGAAACUUCUUGAGUGGAGCAGUGGAAAGGCAUCUGGAAUGUCGCAUGUAGGAGUAAAAUCCGUAGAUAUGCGAUGGAACGCCAAAAGCGUAGGCAGGAUGCUAGCCACUCGCUGACACUGAGAGACGAAAGCGUGGGGAGCGAAGCGGAUUAGAUACCCGCGUAGUCCACGCCCUAAACGAUGCGAGCUCGAUGUAGGGGGUUCUCAAUUGCCCUCUGUGUCCAAGUUAACACGGUAAGCUCGCCGCCUGGGAAGUACGGUCGCAAGACUAAAACUCAAAGGAAUAGACGGGGACCCACACAAGCGGUGGAGCAUGGGGUUUAAUUCGAUAGUAAGCGGAGAACCUCACCUAGGCUUGACAUCUUUGGAAUCCGGCAGAAACGUCGGAGUGCCGCAAGGAACCAAAAGACAGGCGCUGCACGGUUGUCGUCAGCUCGUGCCUUGAGGUGUACUGUUAAGUCAGCGAACGAGCGCAACCCUCAUCCUGUGUUGAUUUUUCACAGGAGACUGCCGCCUCCAAGGCGGAGGAAGGUGGGGAUGACGUCAAAUCAGCGUGGCCCUUAUGCCUAGGGCAACACCCGUGCUACAAUGGCCGGUACAAACCGUUGCAAACCCGUAAGGGGGAGCCAAUCGGAAAAAGCCGGUCUCAGUUCGGAUUGAAGUCUGCAACUC